rnacentral:lncRNA from 1 species
CAGUACCGAAACUGGGAACCGAUGUUCCUCUGGAACCAGCAUGAAAACUCCACAAAAUCCCUAGUUUGUCUCCACAGUGUUCUUAUUCCAAGUGUGCUGAGAGAAAAGGCCAGACAUGGAUACCUUAAUUUUGUAAAACAGAAAGGUAAACAUAACUGUCAUUUUAAAAUGUCAUUUCGCCGGAGAAGAAAGUUACCAUCGGGACGCUGUACUUCUCCAGUUUCACGCUCGCUCUGGAUUUCCCUCCUGCCCCCCCUUCUCCCCCCAGCAGCACUAAAAGCAAAAGGAUGGUGUGAGGGAAACACAAAGAAGGUCCCUUGCAGAGAAACACAUCCUGACAUCAAGCAUUUUCAUCACGGCUGACAGAGAAAUGGCAUGUUCAAUUUGCACUUUAUUUACAAACGCUAAACAUCUACGCACACAUGCCUACCCACCUUUCAUAUCCCUGUAUCUGAAACCCAAGCGAGGAAAACAGCCCAUGCGCGUGAAGCAAGCGAGGGAAUGUGCCGCUGCCUCAUCCAGCACGUUUACAAAUGGACCAACCACAAAUACACCACAGGGAAAUGUGCUUCUCUGUGUGCCAAAAUGCCAGGAUGUUAAUUCACAGAUAUCUCUGUUCAGCGUGUUGGUGUAACUGAGAUAAAUGCCAAGCUGGCUCCCUGCUGUGCGUGGUCCGACACCCCUUGGCCAUAGAGAUUCCAGCUAUUUAAGUUUGGAAAUGACAUUUCUUCACACGUCUUCCAAGAUAGCAAUGUAUGUCAAUCACCGGGAGCUCUGCCAAUGACAAUGCCAAUGGAUUUGAAUUUCCCAUUCAUGCUAGGGUGAAGGGGCUAUCUCUUUGACUUCUCCGACUGGGGCCUUUCAUCUCACCCAGGAAAGUUUAUUUCCCAAGGAAUUUUCUUUGUGGUCUCAAACUUGAAUGACCUUCCUUUUAUAACCUCUGAUAUCA